UCACCCAGCUCGUCAUGCUAGAGCACUUUUUCAAUGUGCUCCCCAACGACAAGGCGACGCCGCAUUCGUUUGUCAAUCCAUAUCAACUUUGCGUACAGGGACCCUGACAAACGGCUUCCACAUGCAAGGAAGGCAGCAGGCGUGCAAAUGACCCACUCCCGAUGCGGGGAGGUAGUGAUGA